rnacentral:rRNA from 1 species
AAAAGAACUCUGAAUAGAGAGUUAAAUAGUACGUGAAACUGCUUAGAGAUUAAACCCGAUGAACCUGAAUAUCCAAUAUAGAGAAUUCAUCAUUAAUAUAUUAAUUUUUUUAAAUUAAUAUAAUGGUGUGCAUUUUCUCUAUAUAAAAUGGACAUUGUAAUCUAUUAAUAUAAAAAUUAAUUUAUCAUAAGAUCAAUUAGCAUAUGUUUAUUUUUAACUAAAUUUGUUUCGGCUUAUUUAAUAUUAAAAAUAAUUGCUAUUGUGAUUUGAUAAAGUAUUGAUAGAUUUAUUUAUAUGUAUAAUGCAUAAAUUUAUAUAUGUAUGUAUAUAAAUUUUAUAAUAUAGAAAUAUAUUAUAAGCAUUUAUACGAUUUACAAUGCGUAAGAUUCAGGAUACCUUCGGGAC